rnacentral:rRNA from 1 species
GUCUAUGGCCAUACAAUCCUGAAUGUGCCCAAUCUUGGAAGCUAAACAGGGUCCAGCUUGGUUAGUACUUGGAUGGGAGACUGUCUUAAGGAAAUAAGAUCAAGUGUUUCUGGUU